UACGGAGGGGGCAAGCGUUGUUCGGAUUUAUUGGGUGUAAAGGGUGUGUAGGCGGCAUGGUAAGUGAGAUGUGAAAUCUUCGGGCUCAACCCGGAAACUGCAUUUCAUACUGCUAAGCUAGAGUACCAAAGAGGCAAAUGGAAUUCUUGGUGUAAGAGUGAAAUCUGCAGAUAUCAAGAAGAACACCAGUAGCGAAGGCGAUUUGCUGGGUGGAUACUGACGCUGAAACACGAAAGCUAGGGUAGCGAACGGG
rnacentral:misc_RNA from 1 species